AACGAACGCUGGCGGCAUGCCUAACACAUGCCAGUCGAACGAGACCUUCGGGUCUAGUGGCGCACGGGUGCUUAACGCGGGGGAACCUGCCCGUAGGUUCGGAAUAACUCCCCGAAAGGGGUGCUAAUACCGGAUAAUGUCUUCCGACCAAAGAGUUAUCGCCUUUGGCUGGGCCCGCGUUGGAUUAGCUAGUUGGUAGGGUAAAAGCCGACCAAGGCGACGAUCCAUAGCUGGUCUGAGAGGAUGAUCCGCCACACUGGGACUGAGACCCGGCCCAGAAUCCUACGCGAGGCAGGAGUGGGGAAUAUUGGGCAAUGGACGCAAGCCUGAUCAAGCAAUGCCGGGUGAGUGAUGAAGGCCUUAGGGUUGUAAAGCUCUUUUACCCGGGAUGAUAAUGACAGUACCGGGAGAAUAAGCACCGGCUAACUACGUG
rnacentral:rRNA from 1 species